CAUGAAGGCAUUUCCUCAAUUGCCUAACAUGGAAUUUGGGACUACUCCAAAAGAGAUGGCACAGGAACGUACAGCUUUGGCACUGGAAAUACUUCAAGCUUCAGUGUUUGACGCAGAGAACGAUUGUUCCAUGUGUUCAGAACGCAACCCACCAUGUCCAGGGCCUUCCAUUCAGUGGAUUCAGUGCGACAGCUGUAACUGAUGGUUCCAUGAACAGUGUGUGCAGAGGGACACACCACAGCUUGAAGAUGCACAAAAUGCACCCUGGGAUUGCUGUUUCUGCAAAGCUUAAUCCAGAAAUUAGAGGUGGAGGGCUGGAUUCUGAAAUACACUGCUACUUCAAUAUAUAUAUAU